rnacentral:rRNA from 1 species
UACAGAGACUGCGAGCGUUAUUCGGAUUCACUGGGCGUAAAGGGUGCGCAGGUGGCCAAGUGUGUUAGGCGUGAAAGCCCGGGGCUUAACCCCGGAAUUGCACCUAAAACUACUUGGCUAGAGCAUUGGAGAGGGGAGCAGAAUUCAUGGUGUAGCAGUGAAAUGCGUAGAUAUCAUGAGGAAUACCAGAGGCGAAGGCGGCUCCCUGGACAAUUGCUGACACUCAGGCACGAAAGCGUGGGGAGCAAACAGG